GAUGAACGCUGGCGGCGUGCUUAACACAUGCAAGUCGAACGAAGCACUAUUAUUUGAUUUCUUCGGAAUGAAGAUUUUAGUGACUGAGUGGCGGACGGGUGAGUAACGCGUGGGUAACCUGCCUCAUACAGGGGGAUAACAGUUAGAAAUGACUGCUAAUACCGCAUAAGACCACAGUACCGCAUGGUACAGGGGUAAAAACUCCGGUGGUAUGAGAUGGACCCGCGUCUGAUUAGGUAGUUGGUGGGGUAACAGCCUACCAAGCCGACGAUCAGUAGCCGACCUGAGAGGGUGACCGGCCACAUUGGGACUGAGACACGGCCCAAACUCCUACGGGAGGCAGCAGUGGGGAAUAUUGCACAAUGGGGGAAACCCUGAUGCAGCGACGCCGCGUGAGCGAUGAAGUAUUUCGGUAUGUAAAGCUCUAUCAGCAGGGAAGAAAAUGACGGUACCUGACUAAGAAGCACCGGCUAAAUACGUGCCAGCCGUCGCUGUAAAAC
rnacentral:rRNA from 1 species